GGCCUCGUAGCUCAGUUGGCUAGAGCGUUGGUUGUACCAAUGCCUUCCCCUUGCUGGCGUGGGUUCGAAUCCCACUGAGGACG
rfam:Schistocephalus solidus strain NST_G2 genome assembly, scaffold: SSLN_scaffold0003769